rnacentral:rRNA from 1 species
AACGUAGGAGGCAAGCGUUAUCCGGAGUUACUGGGCGUAAAGCGUGCGUAGGCGGGUCGGUAAGUGGGUGGUGAAAGCGCUCGGCUAAACCGGGCGAGUGCCAUUCAGACUGCCGGUCUAGAGGCGGAUAGAGGGGUGCAGAAUUCCAGGUGUAGCGGUGAAAUGCGUAGAUAUCUGGAGGAAUACCGGUGGCGAAGGCGGCAUCCUGGACCGGCAUUGACGCUGAGGAGCGAAAGCCAGGGGAGCAAACGGG